AGGGUGCAGGGCGGAUGCCUUGGCACUAGGAGCCGAUGAAGGACGUGAUAAGCUGCGAUAAGCUUCGGGGAGUUGCACGUAAACUUUGAUCCGAAGAUUUCCGAAUGAGGAAACUCACUUAGAGUAAUGUCUAAGUAUCGUUAAGUGAAUACAUAGCUUAGCGAGGGGAACCCGGGGAACUGAAACAUCUAAGUACCCGGAGGAAGAGAAAGAAAUUCGAUUCCGUAAGUAGCGGCGAGCGAACGCGGAACAGGCCAAACCAAUGAAGUUUACUUCGUUGGGGUUGCGGACAUACAACAUGGAUGCAAUAUCGUAAAUGAAGAGAGUUGGAAAGCUCCGCCAUAGAAGGUAAUAGCCCUGUAGUUGAAACGAGAAAGCUACUAGUAUGAUCCAGAGUACCACGGGACACGUGAAACCCUGUGGGAAGCAGGAGGGACCAUCCUCCAAGCCUAAAUACUACCUAGUGACCGAUAGCGCAUAGUACCGUGAGGGAAAGGUGAAAAGAACCCCGGGAGGGGAGUGAAAUAGAACCUGAAACCCUGCACUUACAAGCUGUGGGAGCACAUUACUUGUGUGACCGCGUACUUUUUGUAGAACGGGCCAACGAGUUACGUUAAGUAGCAAGGUUAAGCACUUAAGGUGUGGAGCCGUAGCGAAAGCGAGUCUUAAAUGGGCGAUUAAGUUACUUGGCGUAGACCCGAAACCGGGCGAUCUAUCCAUGAGCAGGUUGAAGCGAAAGUAAAAUUUCGUGGAGGACCGAACCCACGAGCGUUGAAAAGCUCGGGGAUGACUUGUGGAUAGCGGUGAAAUUCCAAUCGAGCCCGGAGAUAGCUGGUUCUCCCCGAAAUAGCUUUAGGGCUAGCCUCAAGCGUAGAGAAACGGAGGUAGAGCACUGAAUGUCCUAGGGGGUAUUGCACUUACCGAAGACUAUCAAACUCCGAAUGCCGUUUUCUUUUACUUGGGAGUCAGACUGUGGGUGAUAAGAUUCAUAGUCAAAAGGGCAACAGCCCAGAUCGUCAGCUAAGGUCCCUAAAUGUACGUUAAGUGGUAAAGGAUGUGGGAUUGCACAGACAACCAGGAUGUUGGCUUAGAAGCAGCCACUCAUUUAAAGAGUGCGUAAUAGCUCACUGGUCGAGUGAUCCUGCGCCGAAAAUUUCCGGGGCUAAAACGUACUACCGAAGCUACGGCAUCAUUUAUGAUGGGUAGGGGAGCUUCGUAUGCAGGCUGAAGCAUGACCGUAAGGACAUGUGGACAGUAUACGAGUGAGAAUGUUGGCAUGAGUAGCGAGACGUGGGUGAGAAUCCCACGGGCCGUAAACCCAAGGUUUCCAGGGGAAGGUUCGUCCGCCCUGGGUUAGUCGGGACCUAAGCCGAGGCCGAAAGGCGUAGGUGAUGGACAACAGGUUGAUAUUCCUGUACCGCCAAUAAGCGUUUGAGAGAUGGAGUGACACAGUAGGAUAAGCUAACCGUACUGUUGGUUAUGUACGGCUAAGCAUUGAGGCAGUCUAAAUAGGCAAAUCCGUUUAGACAAUGCUAGGAUGUGAUGGGGAAGCCCUUCGGGGCGAAGUAGCUGAUUUCACACUGUCAAGAAAAGCUUCUAUCGAGUUUAAAGGCGCCCGUACCGUAAACCGACACAGGUGGGUGAGGAGAGUAUCCUAAGGCCAGCGAGAGAACUGUUGUUAAGGAACUCGGCAAAAUGACCCCGUAACUUCGGGAGAAGGGGUGCCUUCGAAAGAAGGCCGCAGAGAAUAGGCCCAAGCGACUGUUUACCAAAAACAUAGGUUUCUGCUAAGUCGCAAGACGAUGUAUAGGAGCUGACGCCUGCCCGGUGCUGGAAGGUUAAGGGGAUCUGUUAGAGCAAUCGAAGCAGUGAACUUAAGCCCCAGUAAACGGCGGCCGUAACUAUAACGGUCCUAAGGUAGCGAAAUUCCUUGUCGGGUAAGUUCCGACCCGCACGAAAGGCGUAACGAUUUGGGCACUGUCUCAACAAUAGACUCGGUGAAAUUGUAAUCCCGGUGAAGAUGCCGGGUACCUGCGACAGGACGGAAAGACCCCAUGGAGCUUUACUGUAGCUUGACAUUGGGUCUUGGUACUACAUGUACAGGAUAGGUGGGAGACUAUGAAGCAUGGACGCCAGUCUGUGUGGAGUCAUCCUUGGGAUACCACCCUUGUAGUACUGGGAUCCUAACCAUAGGCCUUGAAUCAGGUCUUGGAACACCGUCAGGUGGGCAGUUUGACUGGGGCGGUCGCCUCCUAAAAAGUAACGGAGGCGCCC
rnacentral:rRNA from 1 species